rnacentral:rRNA from 1 species
AUGCCCCCAAAAAAACGACGCCGGACGUCGGACGCAGCGAUGGAUCCACAACGCAUCGUCUACAGAGACUUUCCCGCCGACGUGCUGGCGAAUAUCCUGAUGCGCCUCCCGCCCAACACCCGCCGCCGGCUCCGCCUCGUCUGCCGGCACUGGCGCGACAUCGUGGGCACGCGCACCGCCACGAACCUGCGGAGCCGCGCCAAGAUACUCGUCGCCGCGACGGGCACUGCGUACGUCAUCGACAACCUAUCUGCGCCAGUGAAGCCCAGAGAGCUGUGGGCCGACGCGCUCACGGAAUACCACUUCAAGGACACAAGCGUGUUCAUGAGCGUGGUCGGCACCUGCAACGGCCUCAUCUGCCUGUGUGAUGACCAGAAGCUCGGCGGCCCCAUCACCGUGGCCAACCCUGUCACCAGCGAAGCGCUGCGCAUCCCGCCGCUGCCGCCGCCGCGGCCUGGCGCCGACAUGUGCUUUGACAGGAGCUGGCACGCGGCCUACAGCUUCGCGUACCUCCAAAUACAAAUACCGUUUGGAAUUUUCAACUGUAAUUCAAAUUCAAAUAUUUUGAACAAGUAA